UACGGAAUGUGCAAACGUUAUUCGGAAUCACUGGGCUUAAAGAGUCCGUAGGCGGCUUGUUAGGUGAGGUGUGAAAUCCCCCGGCUCAACCGAGGAAUUGCGCUUCAAACCGGCGAGCUUGAGGAAGGUAGAGGUGGGCGGAACUGAUGGUGGAGCGGUGAAAUGCGUUGAUAUCAUCAGGAACACCGGAGGCGAAGGCGGCCCACUGGGUCUUUUCUGACGCUGAGGAGCGAAAGCGUGGGUAGCAAACAGG
rnacentral:rRNA from 1 species